rnacentral:rRNA from 1 species
CUGGCUCAGGACGAACGCUGGCGGCGUGCCUAAUACAUGCAAGUCGAGCGGACAGAUGGGAGCUUGCUCCCUGAUGUUAGCGGCGGACGGGUGAGUAACACGUGGGUAACC